GCAAGUGGUUCUCCACGCUCUUUCUCUUGUCUCGUUGCCAAUUUCCCUUUUCUUCUCAAGAUUAUUUUGUGACUGAUUCUGAGAAGAUUUUUUGCGUCAUGACUUUGGAAUAAGUUAUAAAUGAAUCAAAAACCAAGUUGAGACAAGGUGACGCGACUGAAUAAGAACAAGAACCAUGGAGACGCUGAAUUACAAGGAGCAGAGGGUGGACAGAACGCCACUCAAAAGCUAGCCAACGCCCAAGAACUCGUUGGGCAGCACGUCUUGGACAUGUCUCACAGCGCCGCCCACGCCACGUCGUCUCUCCCGGCGCCCAGGCGAAGGAUAUCGGCCGUUACAAGGUCCAGUAAGGAGAUGGAUCUGGAAGCCAUCAGAGAGAGAAGGUCUCGCCUGGAGGCCCUCACCGCCUCCCUCCGCCUCCCCCCACUCCUGCCAAGCUCAGGGGAACGGAGACAGUCCACCCCCAGCGCCUCCUCCGCGCUACAGCAAGUCAAACCUCGUCGGAGGCUCAAGACCGAGCGACCUCCGACCUCAACCCAAGGUCCUGCUAAUUCAGGGAAGCAGAUAGCCUCGGAGGCGAAACUGCCCGCUCUCUCCCUCCCUCC
rnacentral:lncRNA from 1 species